ensembl:lncRNA
CCCUACCUCUCCCGAGCCAGGGCCAGGGCCGGGAUGCUGAGAAGCCGAUCGAGGCCGACAGCGCAGAGAGGGGUCACCUCGGAGCUCCGAGGGUCAAAUUCCGAUGAGGCGCGGGGACCCGGCCGCGCCGUCCGGUCCCGACUCGGAGUUCUGAUAGAAGGCGGGGUCAGCACCGCCGCUCAGACCCGCUCGCGGGCUCGGGCUCCUAGUGCUUCGGGAUUCGGGAGGUGCGCGUGGCUCCCGCAGCUACGCUCCGGCUCGGCUCCGGCGGCGGCGCUCGGAGGGGCGGAGACCCCAGCGAUGCGAAGGAAACCUGGCGCGGAUCUGGAGCGGACUGUGCUGUGGCCGGGGGCUGGCUGGGACGCGGGGCAGGAGAUGGGGUGGCGGGGCGCGGGGGAAAGCGGAGCUGCCGUGGGCGGUGAGGUGGGCGCAGCUGGGUGGCCUCUAGCGUUGCAGAUGAGACCCCUCCCCUUGUCCCCGGUGGGGAGCGGGACUGAGGGUGGGGAGAUGUCUUGAGUUUUGGUGGAAUGGAGUGACAGAGUUAUCGCAUCGUGCCCGCAGCGUCUUUUAAGUUCGGUCCCGGGAGUUCGCCCCGUCGCUCAGUUCCCCUUCUCCAGGGCCCCUAGCAAAGUCAGCCAGGCUCUCCGAUCUCCGGCCGCCAGAUUAGUAAGAGCAGCUGGAAAGGGGACACGGAGCCGAACACCCUGCCCCGGUCGGAGAAACUGAUAGGGGAAACGGGAAACCCAAGACGGUUGGGAAGGGAGGAGACCCCAAGAGGCAGAAGCGGGACGCUGAAAGGAGCAGAGCGAGGCCUACUCUGGGCCAGAUGACUCCCGCGCCCCGGGGUCGCCGAGCAGACUCGCUCAGCUCCGCUCAGCCGCGGGCAUCUCACCCGCCGUCAGGCCGCAAGGCCCCCGCGGGGCAGCACGAGUGCACGGGGCCAUACACCUGUGAACUUCCAGGGACACCUGUGGACAUCCGAGUACACGAACACAGACCUCUGUGCACACGCCGGGCUCCUGUGCUGACCCCGUUUUAUGCUUUCCAAGGUGUUUGCUCCACAACCUGAUAAUCGGAUCCCAUUGGCUGAGCUAAUGUGACACGAUGGAGGAUUUGAAGUUCCCGGACUCCCGCAAGCAAAGCCACCCCAAGAGUUAAAGGGAUCAGAGCCAUCUCUUCAGUUCAAAGCCAAGCAGGCCAAUAGUGCUUCCCCAUCGAUGCUGAGAUGGUCCGUGGCCCACUCUGGGUCCACAAAUCCAGGUUCUCUGUCAAGCCUCUCCUUGGAAAUAUAUGUCAUCCAACGUUGUCCUAUCUCUGCUCCCCCAAAAUGACCAGUGUCACAG